UGCAGUCGAACGGUAGCACAGAGAGCUUGCUCUCGGGUGACGAGUGGCGGACGGGUGAGUAAUGUCUGGGAAACUGCCUGAUGGAGGGGGAUAACUACUGGAAACGGUAGCUAAUACCGCAUAACGUCGCAAGACCAAAGAGGGGGACCUUCGGGCCUCUUGCCAUCAGAUGUGCCCAGAUGGGAUUAGCUAGUAGGUGGGGUAACGGCUCACCUAGGCGACGAUCCCUAGCUGGUCUGAGAGGAUGACCAGCCACACUGGAACUGAGACACGGUCCAGACUCCUACGGGAGGCAGCAGUGGGGAAUAUUGCACAAUGGGCGCAAGCCUGAUGCAGCCAUGCCGCGUGUAUGAAGAAGGCCUUCGGGUUGUAAAGUACUUUCAGCGGGGAGGAAGGUGUUGUGGUUAAUAACCGCAGCAAUUGACGUUACCCGCA
rnacentral:rRNA from 1 species